rnacentral:rRNA from 1 species
UAUCUCUGUAGAGUCUGCAUAUCAAUAAGCGGAGGAAAAGAAACUAACAAGGAUUCCCUUAGUAACGGCGAGUGAAGCGGGAAGAGCUCAAAUUUGAAAUCUUCAAGGUUCUACCUUGACGAAUUGUAGUUUAUAAGAAGUGUUUUCUGUUAGUGGAGUGGCAAAAGUUCUUUGGAAUAGGACAUCAUAGAGGGUGAGAAUCCCGUAUUUGGUCAUUCCUCCUAGCUUUGUGAUACACUUUCAACGAGUCGGAUUGUUUGGGAAUGCAGUCCAAAAUGGGUGGUAAAUUUCAUCUAAAGCUAAAUAUUGGCGAGAGACCGAUAGCGAACAAGUACCGUGAGGGAAAGAUGAAAAGAACUUUGAAAAGAGAGUUAAACAGUACGUGAAAUUGUCAAAAGGGAAGCGUUUGGCACCAGUGUUGUUUUUCCGAAAAUCAAUUACGAAUGUUUUAUUUUUGAGGAGUUAUGACUUCAUCGGCUUGCUCCUUUCUUUAUGAAACUUUCUUAAUGCACUUUUCGGUUAACAAGUCAACAUCAAUUUCUUUUGUUGUAAAAGGGUAUGAGGAAGGUGGCUUUCUUUUCGGAGAAAGUGUUUAUAGCCUUGUGCCUCUGCAGUCGGAGAGAUUGAGGUCUGCAGCGUAGAUCCUUCGGGGUUAGAUACAUUUGUGCUAAGUUAUAGCUUUUCAUAGACAACUUGUUGACUAUGUUUAGUCUUGUAGCUUACUCGCUUAUGCUAUUUUACCUACGCUUAGGAUGUUGAGUAGCGACAUACGCAC